rnacentral:lncRNA from 1 species
UCUUUCUUCCUCCCAGGCUAUUUUAUACUAUCCAGUAAUAUGAAGCUACAGAAAAUUUUUUACCCUUUAAUUCCCCGAAGCUGAAGGAUUUGCUCUAAACAUGGAAAAGAUGUGGGCUCCCAGGCCAGCACAGCCUGGGGAGAACUCAAGGAGGGGCUGAGAUCACAAAUCAAUCUCUCUGGCAACACGGCAGGGAGGGAGAGGAUUCGGUGGGAAGAGAUGCUGUGCCUGCUGCCAGCUGCAUGACCUUCAGCAGCUGAAGGAGCGUGAUGUGAAGAGCGUGGUUUGCAGAAACCCCCAGCCCAGCCACACUGACCAAAGUCUGGGAAGCACCAGUGCAUAUCUGCCACUUCUCCAAAGCGGCUACAUUUGGUUUUUCUUGAGGCUUGAAAAUCUCAGUGGUUCCUUCUUUGUGCUAAGAACAUUACCCCAAGACGCUCAGCAGCUAGAGCCUACACACACCGUCCUUCACACAGAAUCACAGAAUCAUCUAGGAUGCUUUGUUCUCAGGAAGAUCCUUGGGAAGAGGGGCUUAACCACAGAGUUGUCCUGACACACAUAGGCUGCAAACAAUUUGGGACCCAAAGCCCCGAGAGUCUCUGUAAGAAAGGUGUGCAUUUGUUUCAAGAGUCAGCAUUUCAAGAAAAUCAGACAGACUGUGCUAAGUGGAGAUUUAUAAAUAAACUGCUUUAUUUAUGCAUGCCUGGAUGACAGCUAAAGGCCUUGCUGUGGAGCAGCAUAACAGAACACCACCAGCAGCAGCAGUGCUUUGGCUGCCACCUCUCUGCCGGUAUUUGUGCCUCCGCUCCCUAGCCCUUCUGGCCCUUCUCCAGCUUUGCUCCUGGAGUAAAAGUGAAUGAGUCUCACUCCUCACUCACUGUAAUGUAUUUGUUAGUGUAAAGCGUGGCUGUUCAGAAGCUAAGCAACCCCCGUGCUCCCCUU